rnacentral:rRNA from 1 species
AAUACUUAGGAAUCUACCUAUUAAUGGGGGACAACAUUUCGAAAGGAAUGCUAAUACCGCAUACGCCCUACGGGGGAAAGCAGGGGAUCUUCGGACCUUGCGUUAAUAGAUGAGCCUAAGACGGAUUAGCUAGUUGGUGGGGUAAAGGCCUACCAAGGCGACGACCUGUAGCGGGUCUGAGAGGAUGAUCCGCCACACUGGGACUGAGACACGGCCCAGACUCCUACGGGAGGCAGCAGUGGGGAAUAUUGGACAAUGGGGGGAACCCUGAUCCAGCCAUGCCGCGUGUGUGAAGAAGGCCUUUUGGUUGUAAAGCACUUUAAGCGAGGAGGAGGCUACUGGUACUAAUACUACCAGUUAGUGGACGUUACUCGCAGAAUAAGCACCGGCUAACUCUGUGCCAGCAGCCGCGGUAAUACAGAGGGUGCGAGCGUUAAUCGGAUUUACUGGGCGUAAAGCGUGCGUAGGUGGCCUUUUAAGUCAAAUGUGAAAUCCCCGAGCUUAACUUGGGAAUUGCAUUCGAUACUGGUUGGCUAGAGUAUGGGAGAGGAUGGUAGAAUUCCAGGUGUAGCGGUGAAAUGCGUAGAGAUCUGGAGG